UGCAAUCCAGAAGUAAUUGAUUCUUACAGAGAACUAAAUACUGUAUUCUCUGAAAAUGUGUUCAUUAUCAAAGCAUAUAUAUAUGGUAUGUGCAUGACAGUUCAAUUCGUUCACACUGGAUUUACUUUCUUUUGUUAUUCCCUCUUAGAUAAAGAGAACAACAUCAAGCCAAGAUGUCUGACAAAAAGAUGACAUCGAGUCGCAGGCAUCAUCUGAAGAGCUUGAUGCUUCAGAUUGCUGCAACACAGCUUGAGUAAGAGGAAGCUGAGGC